GAUGAACGCUGGCGGCGUGCCUAAUACAUGCAAGUCGAGCGAACGGACGAGAAGCUUGCUUCUCUGAUGUUAGCGGCGGACGGGUGAGUAACACGUGGAUAACCUACCUAUAAGACUGGGAUAACUUCGGGAAACCGUAGCUAAUACCGGAUAAUAUUUUGAACCGCAUGGUUCAAAAGUGAAAGACGGUCUUGCUGUCACUUAUAGAUGGAUCCGCGCUGCAUUAGCUAGUUGGUAAGGUAACGGCUUACCAAGGCAACGAUGCAUAGCCGACCUGAGAGGGUGAUCGGCCACACGGGAGCUGAGACACGGUCCAGACUCCUACGGGAGGCAGCAGUAGGGAAUCGUCCGCAAUGGGCGAGAGCCUGACGGAGCAACGCCGCGUGAGUGAUGAAGGUCUUCGGAUCGUAAAACUCUGUUAUUAGGGAAGAACAUAUGUGUAAGUAACUGUGCACAUCUUGACGGUACCUAAUCAGAAAGCCACGGCUAACUACGUG
rnacentral:rRNA from 1 species